GACCACUUCGUCAAUGUUGAAUUACUUUGUUAUAAUGUCACUAGUUUUAAUGUCAUUAGUUUUGUUAUAAUGUCACUAGUCCUUGGUUUUCCAGUUUCCUGUUGCCAUCUUGACUGUUUCAGUAGUAUUUGCUUCAGGAUUCCCUGACUGUCGUAUACUAUGUUCUACAAAACUGGAUCCGUAACCAAUCUUUGUGGAAUUCCUGCAUGUAGAUUUCCUUCCACAAUAAUUGACUGCGUACAAGCCUUAUUGAUUUACAAGGUUUCCGCAAUCUUCAUUAUUCGACAAGCAGUGUUAUACUACAUACCACCGUACCACGUUGCCUCUUGACAUCGUUCUGGCUGUCUAUUUCGCUUAUGCGCUAGUUUUAACUUGUUCAAGUGCACUGUUCGCAGAAUCCCUUUCACUUCAAUCUUGACGUUUUGAUUUUGCAAAGUUUCUAACACUUUAUGCGGUCCUGUAUAUUGAUCAGAGAAUUUUCCUUUGCUAGGUUCCUUCAGUAGAUAUACCAGGUCUCCUAUUUUGAAAUUUUGCGGGUUGAUACGUCUGUCGUAAUAUUCCUUUGACUUUAACUUGGAUUUCAUCAAAUUUUCUCUUUCCUUUUGUUGUACGGUGUUGAUUUUAUCGAACAGAUCUCUGAGAUAUUCUGCAUAUGUUGGUUCCAUGUUCUCUUCGAUUAUCAUUUCGCCAGUAGGUUCUCUGGCCAAGUGCCCAAAGACUAAUUCGUGCUGGGAGAAUUUCGUUCCUUCGUGUACAGAGGUGUUAUAAGAAAACAUGGCUAAUUCCACCCGUUUGUCCCAGUUUCUGGAGUUUUCAAUGUACAAUUUGAGAUAUUCUGUUAAUACAUGGUGAGAUCUUUUGAUUGAACCAUUGCUUUGUGGAUGGUUUUAUGCGAAAUCUCUUUGCUACUUUCUUCAGUAGCGAGGAUGUAAAGUUCAUUCCCUGGUCGGUAAGAAUGACUCUCGAUAACCCGAAUUGGCAAAUAAAUUGUUUUAUGAAAGCGUUAGCUAUCUCGGUUGAAGAGAUUCCUUUGAUUAGAAUUCCGAGCGAGUACUUGGUUAAUAAAUCUUGAAUCGUCAGUAUAUAUUCGUUUCCCUUUUGUGUCGUUGGCAAUGGACCGACGAUAUCCAUACUAGUUUUGUCGAAAGCUUUACCUGGUGUAUCUGUGAGCAGCAUUGGUUGUUUUGUUUUUAUUGUUGUUAGUUUCUUUAACUUCUUUCUUCUACGCUCUUUACAAGUUCUUACAUAUUCUUGAAUCUCUUUCUUCAUGUUUUCCCAAUAAUAGUCUUGUCGUAUUCUUUGUUAAGUUUUUGUUACUCCUUUGUGUCCUGCUACGCAUGAUUCGUGUUUCUCUCGUAUUAUGUUAUUUCGCGCUUCCACUGGUGGGGUGAUUAUUUCCUCGGUACAGAUGGUGAUAGUUAUGGUUUUUUCCAUAAAUACUUCCUUCAAUUUCCUGAUUGUGUGUUACCAGGGUAUUUCUUCCAAAUUUCCUUUGCUAAUGUUAAAGGACGUUAAUUGGUUUUCGUUUACUACAUCCAGUAAGAAUCUCAAUGAAUUUAGUAAAUUUUCUGGCAUUAUAGGAAUAUUUCGGUCUUCCUUUACCGGUAGGGAUACGAUGUAUUUUCCGGAAUCUUGAUUCAAUCUUGCUCUUUACAACAUUAGAUCUUCAUAAUGCGGCAGUUUCCCUGCUUCCUUCAUUUCUAAGGCUCCUAUAUCUAACGGAGUACCCUGUAUAUUGACGAAUAUUACUUUAUGAUCAUUCACUCUCGUAACUGAGUCUCGCGUUUCCGAAAUUUUUAGUUCCGCAAGUACCGUCUUGCGUCUUCUCGUUGCCGAAUUGGUUCGGAGUCUGCCAUAGAAGGCUCUUCUUCACUUGUUGUAUCGAUGUCCUCUAUUUCUCGAUUGGCUACUUCCUCGUUUAUGUUUACAUUGAUUUCGGCUAAUGCUUGGUCAAAAUAUUUUACGGGUGUUUUCUCUAUGGUGAGAUGCUUUUGAAUAAAGGCUUUUCUUUGUUUUCUCGGAUCAUAGAACUGAGGCAAGACACGUGGUUUAGCUUAGAAUAUCGGAGAGUCCUCGGCUGAGGUAUCUAAUUGAAAUCUUUUUAAAUGUGGAUAUCGAUCUGGCGAGUCUUCUCGCUUCCUGAUUGGCAGGCACAUCUCUGUGGGGUUUCUAGACAAUGCAUCUGCAUUUGCAUUUGUUCGUCUUUCUUUGUAUUGGAUAUCGAACUCGAAGUCUGAUUUCAGUUUUCAAUUCCAAAUUCUCGAUGUGGGUUCCUUAAUGGAAUUCAUCCAUACUAACGGUUUGUGAUCAGUUACUAUAAUAAAUUUCCUUCCAUACAGGUAUGGUCUGAAAUGCAUCGCGCAAUAGACGAUUGCUAGACAUUCCUUUUCUAUGGUAGAAUAGUUUUGUUCUGCGGGGUUUAGUAGUCUAGAGGCAUACGCGAUUGGCAAAUCCUUUCCAAUCGGUCCCUGACUCAAUAUUCCGCUUAUUGCGUAACCUGAUGCGUUUGUCAUAAGGUUGAAGGAUUUGGAAAAAUCCGGAUAUUGUAGAAUAGGUUUUGUGGUUAAUGCUGUUUUUAAAUUGUUGAAAGCAUUUUCUUGAUUUUUCAACCAUUUAAAGGUGAUGUCUUUCUUCAGUAGUUGCGUUAAUGAUUUUGCAAUUUUGGAGAAAUUAGGUAUAAAUCUUCUAUAGUAUCCUGCUAGUCCCAGAAAUUGCUUGAUAUUCUUUGCUUUCUUUGGUCGUGGAAAUUUCGAUACUGCUUCGAUCUUCUUUGGAUCUGGUUUUACACGAUCUUCACUGGUUAUAUGCCCCAAAUGGCUUACUUUAUAUCGUAGGAAUUCGCAUUUAUCAGGCUGUAAUCGUAAUCUGGCUUGCCUUAAUCUUUCCAUUAAUUUGUUUUACUUUCGUGUUUAUGAAGAGAUCUUGAAUAAAUCACUAUGUUAUCUAGAUAGAUGAAUAGUUCUACUCCUUACAAUCCUGAUAACACUGAGUUCAUCAAGCGUUGAAAUGCCGCUAGAGCAUUUUUUAAUCCAAAAGGCAUUCUUUUGAAUUGAAAGUGUUGAGAAUGCAGUCUUGUGGGCAUCCUCCUGUGCCAUUCGGAUCUGGUGGAAGCCUGAUGCCAAAUCAAACGUGGAAAAAUAUUUUGCACUUCCCAAUUGAUCCAAUAUUUCUGUAAUGUUGGGGAGCGGAUAAGCAUCGCCAAUUGUUUUAUCAUUAAGUUUUCUAUAAUCAAUACAGGCUAAUCUCCAAUGUUUGCUUCCUUGCGAGUCUGGUCUCUUCGGCACAAUCCAUAACGGAGAAUUGUAUAGAGAUGUCGAUGGUUCUACGACAUCAGUGUCCAGCAAUUCUUGAAUUUGACGAUUUAUAUCUUUUUGACGUGCAUGUGGGUAACGAUACUGUUUAAUAUAGAUCGGCUAGAAUUUCGGUUCCUUCCAACGUGUCUCCUGGAAUAUGAAAUCUAUCUUGAUUCCUCCGAAUUAAUUCUUCGACGUUUUUUUUUUUUGUCCUCUUUGUUCAAGUGUUCGAGUCGUAAUAAUUCAAUUAUUUUGUCGAAUUUAAUUUCUUUCGAUUUUAAAAUUGCAUUGCACGUCAUGUUAGGGAGCGAUGUAAGGUUUUCAAAUUUUUUAAUUACCAUUGUAGGUGUGAUAAAUUCGUAAUCUCUCGAUGUGCUAUUUAUUAUUCUCAUAUAACGUCGUCCCUUACGGUUUCUCAGAACUGCAUUACCAAAAUAGUAGACUCCCUUGAUUGGCUCAAUUUUGGGAAUAAAUCCCUCUUUUAUCUCCGGAUUUGCGAUGUUAAUUGAACACGGUACCGAAUUUCGUUUCGGCACGAUUAUCUUUUCUCUUGUAUCGAAGGGGAUAUAAAUAUUUUCCCACUUGAUAUGCUUUCGCUCGUAAUCCAAAUGAGUCUUGUAUCCUGCGAAAAAUUCGGAUCCUAGGAUUCCGUCUUGAUCGAUCAGCAAUGAGUCAUCAACUACAUAAAAAAUAACUGGGCGGCCCGCAACCUGUAUUACUGUCUGCCCUGGGGUGACCAGGCUCGUUGGUGUAAUUCCUUGAACUUCAAUUGAUUCUUGCUCGUUGAUACUCGCUGAAUUGAGUAAAGCAGGUUUCUUAAUGUUAUUGAUUUCUGAUCCGGAGUCUAAUAAUAAACUUGUCUUGGUUUUUAGAUCUGGGGAGACUAUUCGUGCAGUUGGAGUACUUGGAGGAUCGUUUAGUUUUACUGAAAUAACCCAGAGGGGUCGUCAUCUGAAUCUGAGUCCGACUCUUGGUGAUUCUUCUUCGUCUACUCUUCUCGUAUUUUCUUUUCCUUCUGGUUUUGAAAUUCUUGAUCCUCCGCUUGUUUCUUCGCGUGGCUGCAGCAUGGUUUUCCCACAGUAUUUAUUUUUUGGUUUUGCAGCAGGCAUUGUAUUCGUUCUGUUCCUCGCUAUAGGUGCUGGUCUUCUUGUCACCGCCUGUACUCUUGGGCGAUUUAGAGCAUCGUUCCUUCGAGGCUCACCUCGUUCUCCCGAAGGACGUGCUCGAUUUCCCGAUUGUCCCGAUGCAUAGGGUAUGAUUAUUCCAGCGUCUACUCAGGCUUUGAAUGUGUAACAAUCUUUUAUUAAAUGCCCAGGUUCUUUGCAAUAGUUAUAUAGUAUAGUAUUUUGUCUCGGAGCGUUUGGACGAUUGUACGACGGCGACGGCGGUAUAAAUCUUCGAUCCUGGCGGUUGUUUCCGAUGUUGUUAUUAUUGUACGGGGGACGAACAUUGUUACGAUUGUAAUUAUUCGGAGGUGUCGGACGUUGGUAUCGCGUUCUGUCGUUUACUCGUUUUAAUUCCUGUGUUGUUUUAACGGCUUGGUGAUACGCGUUUUCUAAGGAAUGGUAUCCUGCUACUUUUACUCGUAAAUACACCUCAUUUGGAUGUAUUCCCUUCCCUUAACGAAGGCCUCCCUUGUGUCCCAGUCUAUUGUAUCUUGGAUGUCUCGGGAUAAGAUGCCGUGCUCACAUCUUUCUCUGUCCAUUAUUGCCAACCUAAGAUUUCUGACGCGAUCCAUAUAAUCUAGUAUGUCUUCCCCUGGUCGUUGGAAUAUCGUUGCUAAUUCACCUUUAUAUUCGUUAACAGUUUUUCCUGGGCCGAACAUAUCUUUUAAUUUGUUCCCGAAAUCGUUCAGACUUUCUACCUGACUGUCUUUUACGGCGAGGAACGCGUAUCCGCGAAACUUAUUCAUUAGUAAUUUUACCAGUUGAGGCUCUUGAUUCCUUGGAACCAUAUUUCACGCGCGCUCACAUGCUCUUAAAAAUUGGAAUAUUGAUGGUCGGUAUCCGUCGAACACUGGUACCGACUCGAUCGCGUCUUUUAACUUAAUCUGUUGUGAAUUACCCUUUGUCAGUAUUGUCUCUUACUGGGUUAUUGACGGUAGUACAGGUGUCUCGGUUUUUUUCUUUGCCUUGAGUGAAUGCACGUCGUCUUCUAAUUCACUGGGUUUUUCGUUUAUGUCGGUCAAUAUGCGCAAUUUUGCAUCCCAUUCUUUCAAUUUUUCUGACAAUGUCAAUAUCAUGUCCUCGUUCAAUGAGUCUAGUGCGGUCGCCAUAUUUUCUAUUUAUAUUUUGUCAAUAACCGUAAGAACUUUAAUCCUCUGUGAAGCGUAUCCCACUGCUGCCACCAAAAAAUAAUUGUUAAUGUUACGUUUUCAAUUUGAUUGCCGUUAAAUUUAAUCGAAAAGGAAUGAUAGUAUUUGAAGUACAAAUUUGAAAUUCUCGACUCAUACGGUAGUUACUGCCACCAGAAAUAGUCUAAGGACUAUUUCAAAAAAUUUUUUUCUUUAUUAUUUAUAUAUAUUAACGCUAGUUAACGCUACCCACAAACAUAUAAGUUAUUGAAUAAAAGACCAAGAGAAUACAACGAUUUGGAAUAUAUAUAUGUCGGGGGG